AGCCGUGGAUCUAGAUUGGAGACCAAAUCAUCCAUGACCUCGAGCGGUGGCUGCGCCGGAUCUACUAGGAACGCCGAGGCGACGCAGCCGGAGCUCCAACGAUCGCCUCCGCUCUGCUCACGGAGUUCUCAGCCGAUGAGGCCGCACCACAUAUGGCAGCUAACUCUCCUAGGUCAGGCGCUAAUAUGACGAAUACUCUUUCCCUCAGCGGCAUCUAAGACCACAACAGCAAAGGCAAAAGCUGAUGCAAGCAUCUCAACAGCGGUUGAUGCCAUCAGCUGCUGGGCGAUGCUAGCGCAGAGCGCACUUCCUCAACUAGAAGAUUUACAGGGGGCAAGUUCAACAAAAAUUACAGGUCCCAGGUCAACAACAAAUGCAAUACAUCCAAGCAUUGUCGCAACAAUUUCAUAACUUUAACAGAUAGAUGGAAACUGGACGUAUGCAACCAGGCAAGGCUCAGAGUCAAUUGAAUCAAGGAACUCAGCUACGAAGUCAUCUAGGCCACUUUAUUGGAGCUUCAAAUAGUGCGAUGUUCAAUGCUCCAAUCUCAACUAAAGACUGAGAGGCAAGAAAAAGAUAGAAUUAGGCAUGAAAUGAAUGAUAGAAAAGUUGUGUGCACUCAUGUUGUUUCAUGGAAAUGCAUGCACGAUUUGGUUUGAAUUCAAUUAAAUGUUGUUUUUUAUUGAUUGAUGAUGAACUAAAAAUGUAAUAAACCCAUCAUGUUAGCUGUCACAUCAUCAUGCUUUAUGACAAAAAUAUUCUUCA